UCUGCAGUGAGAUAGCGAAGGGAGAAGGGCGCGCAGUGCCAAAAAUUUCGACUAAAUUAGGUCUCCUUCACCCGUGCCUCAAAGCGUUCGACGCCGCCGGAGAAAAUCUCCCCCACUCUUCUGUCCGCAAUCUUCCUCUCCCACAUCGCCAUGGCCCGCCGCGCGCCACCACCCCGCCGCGCCCCUACCGGCCCUGAUCCGCCGCGUCGUCUCUUCUUUCCCUUCUCUGCCACGGAUCUGACUGCCGCCACCACCGUCGCCUCCGCAACGCCACGUCGACCUCGAUCUCCUCCUCGACGCGGUUGUUCCCGAUGAGCUCCUCCCCGAUGGCCCCCUCUCCUGCACCUCGAGCAGUACGGCGAGGACAACGGCAUCCACCUCACCGCUAGAUCAAGAUCGCAUCCACCACCUCGACUUCUCUCCAAAGGUUCUCUCCCUGUCUCUCAAACUCUGGUUUAGGUAGAUUUAUAUGUUCUGAUGUGUUCGGUGUGCAGAUAAAGCAAGCGAUGCUCGUCUCUGUGAUUUGCUUGUUAAGAAAUUAUGCAUAGAUUACCUGACUGCUGCUUUCGGUUAGCUUGCCGUUGUGGUAGAAUAUCAGUUUGCCCUUUGCACGUCCGCUUCUGCAGGUUUAGUAGUACAUGUCUAUCAAUUUAGGUGUUUCAGCUUGCACGUUUUGUCCAGAUCCAGAACUUAAAAGUAGCACUUUCACCUAAGAGAUCUAGCAGGUAAAUCUUUUUAGUUCAAGUUCAGAUUUAAAGACAGAUAUAUGGUAUCUAGGAUGCAGGUUGGCCAUGCUCGUAGUGGCAGAGCUUGAAAGAAAUCUAAGGAGGGGCAAAGAAAAAUAUAAUCAAAUAAAAAAUCAUAUCUCUGUAAGGGAUGCAAGCGGACAACGUCUGCAUAUCCGCGAAGCAAAAAUUACACUAUCUUUGUUACUUUAACAACCAUGUUAGUUUAUUUUUUUCCUUCUGCAGACGCUCAUGAACGCCGUCCACUUAAACAAGUUAGAUUUUGCAGAAUAUUGAGAACAUAGAUAAUUACAUUGAUCUUAUCCACAUUAGAUUACAAAAUACAUUUCUGACAUUAAUUAUAUAUAAGCUACUUUGUAACAAAUGAAACUGAACCAAAAUACUAAUUAAAUAUGGAGUAUUGAGUUAAUCACUAAAGAUCAACUCUUUGUUUCUUUCCGCUCCUAAAUUGCAUAAGAAAUUCAUGGCUGUGAUUUUACUCUCUGUGCUUAACACAAGCUACUGGAUAGUAAAUCAUCUUCCAACAUAUUACUAUGUAGCAUUGUCUUAUUAAUCUUCAGAGUAGAAAAUACACGCUCGACACUUGUUGUAGAAAAUGUAAAAUCAAUGGUCUUUCUUUUAACCAUUACAUCUCUAAAAACAAUUUUUAAUUAGAACUACAACUAGUUAAGAUGAAACAUGCAAGAAUCUACACUGAAAAGGUGUAAUCAUAAGAGUUGGACUCCAGUAUAGCAGGAUUAAAUUCCAGGCUAGACUGCUCUUGCUGCUCACAACCUCACUUUUACGCAAUGCUGGCAGUGGCCUGAUGACUAAGCACCACCGUGACUAGAGGAGCCCAGGAGCUCUAAGCACCAGCCUCAGGCAUCUGGCCCCAACGCCGGCAAGCUCUAGUUGUCUGUGUCCCGGUUCCCUGACCCCCGCUCACGCGUCGCCGGUCGCAAAGUCCACGCUAGACAAAAGAGCAUAAGACACACUACAGUAUUGGGUCGCUGCUUGUUUUUCUCCGAUGCAGAGCGCGAGAAGGAUGUGUUAACUGCCGUAUUGGUUGUAGUGUGCAGUACUACUACCUAGUACUAAAAAAAUUCCUUUUCGCUGGGCGGUGACCGCCCAGGUUUGCCCCCAUGAAGCUCCGCCAUUGCAUGCUAGUGCCCUGGAUACUAUGGCAACUAGAUUGUUGAUUGUUUGUGUGGGCAAAGCAACCAAAGUUGUUGAUAGGUACUCUUUUGUCCUCUCUUUUCAGGGAAAUUGUGAUGGUUGCUGGAACAAUCUUCCUUCUAAUGAUCCCAUUUCAGUUUUAAGUUCUCAGUUGCUAUGACUUGGAAUGAUAUCCUUGGUAGUUGUCUCUCUUGCACAGCUGCACUACCUUUUUGUUAACUUAAAACAUAUUUCCUGACUGAAUGUUUUCGUGAUUUAAAGGUACCAAGGAUUGUUUAGAGAUUACAUUGUUGUUUUCUAGCUUGGAGAAGCAACAUCAACUUGGGAUGCAGAUUCACCAAUAUAUGUAUAUGCGUCUCAUAGGGGGGAGCUCUUGCACGGAUAUCCUUGAAACGAGCCAAGAACCACUAAAUUUGUGUGCUCAGGAACAUGCAGAUCAUGACCAUAAUGUCACUUUGGAUGCUUCUCCCCAAGAUUUGAAUCUGGAGCCUGACGCAGGUGUUGCAGGGAUGGUUGGAUUUUUAUUGAUAAUGCAUCUGGAAUUAACUCACUCGGCUCUAUCUCUCUUGGGAAGGCAACCCCUUGAUAGUUAAUGAUUUUGGGUGCAUGUAUAGAUAGCAUGUUGUAACAAGUUUUUUUGAUACUCAGCGUGACCAACAUUGCUUGUACAUAUUGGUCAAGGUGUUCUACUUGCAAUAACUAACUUCAGCUAUAGCUAUAUUUUUUGAAUUUGGCUUUAAGUUGACCAUCUAUCUGAUGUAUGUGUUCAUUCAUUAUGAAUUUGAUGUGUAUGAUGAA